AGAAGGAAACCCUCCUGGCAUCACUGUAGCAGAGAAAAAUGUCUCCUUUCGCCGCUGGUCUCUCCCGCCACUAUCUGUCCUUGUCCCGACUCAUGGCUGUUCCCGGAAAAUCCAGCUCCCUCUGUGCCCACACGACCCGGGUGCCCGUUCAGCUGAGCGGGUUCAGGAGCUCCUCCUCAUCCUCUCAGGCUUGCUCCUUCCCGGCGAAUUCUGCCCGGGCAGUGGUGCUGAAUCAUUCUGGUCGCCCCGAAGCGGUACAUGGGCCGCUGUGCUUCGAUCAUUUCCUCCGUUUCUCGGCCGCCUCGGAUGUUGGUUCUAGUGGGGCUGGUGGUUAUGGCGGCUCCGGUGAUGGGAAUUCUGGGGGAAGAGGUGGUGGAGGUGAUGGUGGCGCUGGCGGAGAGAGUAGUGGCGGGAAUAACUGGUCUUUUCUCUCAUGGUAUUUGAGCGUUCUUGCCAAGUACCCUGUCUGGACAAAAGCUAUUACUUCUGCUUUGUUAACUUUUAUUGGAGAUUUGGUCUGUCAGGUUGUGAUUGAUCAGCUGCCAUCUCUAGACCUCAAGAGGCUUUUCUUGUUUACUUUUCUGGGGCUGGUUUUAGUGGGUCCAACACUACAUUUCUGGUACUUGUUUUUGAGUAAACUUAUAACCGUGCCAGGCACAUCGGGCGCUCUUAUGCGUCUCCUACUUGAUCAGUUCGUUUUCUCUCCCAUAUUCAUCGGGGUUUUCUUGUCCACGUUGAUCACACUGGAAGGAAGGCCCGCACAAGUUGUGCCCAAGCUUCAGCAGGAGUGGUUUUCUGCUGUGGUUGCAAAUUGGCAACUUUGGAUUCCUUUCCAGUUUCUUAAUUUCCGAUUCGUCCCCCAGCAAUUCCAGGUCCUGGCAGCUAAUUUCAUUUCUGUAGUGUGGAAUGUGAUUCUUUCCUUCAAAGCUCACAAAGAGAUUCUUCCAAAAUAAGGAUUGUCACAUUACGGCUUUGGCAACGAAACAAAGUAUACAAGAUCGUAUGGAUUUGCCGGUGAACUUUCCACUAGAUGCUGCCUAGCUCGCUGAGGAUUAGGUAAAUGUGCGUACAAGUUAGUCCUAGGUUAUUCGUAUGAGGCUAAUCCUUUCCCCCAGUUAAGGUUGCUUGUGUUCUUGGGUUUUGAUUCAACUGUGGCCCAAAGAAACAUACUUCCACCGUGCUAAAGCCCAAUACGAUAACAAAUAUCCCAUCGAAAUGGUCCAAAAUCGUCUCGUGUCCGGUAGAAUUUGUCGGGUAAGGGGCUUAUGAUGGGAGCCGUUAAGAAGGCAAUUAUAAAGGAAUACUAUGCUUGAAUAUGAUUUGGAUGAUGAGAUUAGAAUAUCAGUCCGAGGAUUCUACCACGGGUAGGAUUAGUUGCACUAAUUGAUUGUUGUAGGCCCUGUGGACAUUAUUGAUAGGCUUCAGCAAGUUGGCUGCUCUCGCCAUGUAUUUGAGGUUAGGCCAUGGCAAUUGUUACUCACAUAUAUUCAUAUAUACAUAUAUGUUUGUGACGACAAUGUGUCGCAAGCCAUAGGUCAUGGUGCUAAAGCUUAUCGGCAGCAAUGAAGCGUUAAGUGAAGACAAAAAACUCGAAAAAAGAGGUCCCCAGUGAUGCCUACUCUGAUAGCGACUGACGCAUGUCAGAGUACACGUCAUCACUCCCCUGACGCCGACCCCUCAACUACUAAUCCAAAACCUCUUUUUAAACUCCAUCUUGAGGGUACAUGGAGUCAAUACCGCCAUGGAUGAGUUGAUCGCCCCCUAAAAUUUUGAUGAUAUAAGUAAAUUUACAUACUCUUCUUUAAAAUUGCUUGUAUUCGUCCCUCCUAAUUUAGGAGAAGUAUUUUCUUAUUUGCUGUCA